UGCAGUGACAGAGAAGAGUAGGGCCUAUAGGGGCAGCAGCCGGAGGAAGAGGGGAAGGGAGGGGCUGCGCUGAAGGGCAGUGAUUGUGAUGGUUUUAAUUGGGAUUUUCUUUCUCAUUUCUAAACAAACAACCUGGUAAAUCUAAGGGCUCGUUUGUAAUUGAAUUUUUAUUCCAGUUUUCUGUUUCUUAGAAAAUUUAAAACAAAAAUACGUAAACCACACAAAACAGUCUUGUAGUGGUUACUCCAUGUAUCUAGGAUACUUAAAAAUGAUAAAAGUUUGAUGUCAUAGUAGAAUAACAUCAAUGCAUUUGUAGUUUAAACUAAUGUAUUUACAUUGCACACUUGAUAUAUCUAGGUUUCUCUCGCUUCACAUAUUAAGAACCCUUCUCAACGAAUCCCGACCCUUCGAUUUAGGCUCAUAUGACAAGCACACUUAUGGUGAGAAGGGUGAGAAGCAUUUAUAUCCCUUCAAUUAACUUAAUCUAUCAGAUAAAAAAAACAAAAAACCCAUGUAAAUAAUGGCAUAUUUGGUAAUUUUAUACGCACUAGCUUCCCUUCUUCCAACCUACCACAUGAAUAACCCAAAAAAUCUCACAUCUUCUCUCUCUCCCGAUUUCUUUCUCCCCUUUUUGAGCUUCACGAUGAAGUUCAACAUGGCGGCCAGCGCCCAACCAUUUUCACUCAUCCCACGUAUAUAUAUCACAUGUAUGCCAUGUGUAUGCCCAUGGCUGAGAAUGACCUUUUUUAUCCCAAUUCAGCAAAAUAAAAGAUGAUUUUCGAGUUAUUUAUCAACUGGUAGCGUGGAUCUCUAGUGUAAUUUGGUUGUUGUCACUCUUGAUUAACUAGGAGAGGCUGGGUGGACACCUGAAAAGUAGAAGAGGCUGGGUGGACACCUGAUCAAUAUGGAUAUUCAAGGUUUAAACCGUCAAUUGCACCGGGGGACAGUGCCUCAUAUCAGAAAUCUCUGACUAUGUUCAUGAGCACACUCUUGAAGGUCUGAAAACAAUGUCAAAGAGCGUGGAUUCAGAUGUAUUACAUUUGCGAUGUUUGUUGCUGAUUCCUGGAGAAUAUUGAAAACCAACGCACCUAUUAUUCCCCAGAAACAAUAUAUUAUAAAUGCGCAA